rnacentral:rRNA from 1 species
CAGCAGCCGCGGGAAUACGAAGGGGGCUAGCGUUGCUCGGAAUGACUUGGCGUAAAGGGCGCGUAGGCGGCUGACACAGUCAGAUGUGAAAUUCCUGGGCUCAACCUGGGGACUGCAUUUGAGACGUGUUGGCUUGAGUGGAGAAGAGGGUCGUGGAAUUUCCAGUGUAGAGGUGAAAUUCGUAGAUAUUGGAAAGAACACCGGUGGCGAAGGCGGCGACCUGGUCUUUAACUGACGCUGAGGCGCGAAAGCGUGGGGAGCAAACAGGAUUAGAUACCCCUGUAGUCCCUGUCUCUUAUAC